UACGUAGGGGGCAAGAGUUGUCCGGAUUUAUUGGGCGUAAAGAGCGUGUAGGCGGCUUUACAGGUCCGUUGUGAAAACUCGAGGCUCAACCUCGAGACGCCGGUGGAAACCGUAAGGCUAGAGUCCGGAAGAGGAGAGUGGAAUUCCUGGUGUAGCGGUGAAAUGCGCAGAUAUCAGGAGGAACACCCGUGGCGAAAGCGGCUCUCUGGGACGGUACUGACGCUGAGACGCGAAAGCGUGGGGAGCAAACAGG
rnacentral:rRNA from 1 species